UGGGGAAUAUUGGGCAAUGGGCGAAAGCCUGACCCAGCAACGCCGCGUGAAGGAAGAAGGUUUUCGGAUUGUAAACUUCUGUCCUCAGGGAAGAAGAAAGUGACGGUACCUGAGGAGGAAGCCCCGGCUAACUACGUGCCAGCAGCCGCGGUAAUACGUAGGGGGCGAGCGUUGUCCGGAAUGACUGGGCGUAAAGGGCGCGUAGACGGCUGUCUAAGUCUGGAGUGAAAGUCCUGCUUUCAAGGUGGGAAUUGCUUUGGAGACUGGAUGGCUUGAGUGCGGAAGAGGUAAGUGGAAUUCCCAGUGUAGCGGUGAAAUGCGUAGAGAUUGGGAGGAACACCAGUGGCGAAGGCGACUUACUGGGCCGUAACUGACGUUGAUGCGCGAAAGCGUGGGGAGCGAACA
rnacentral:rRNA from 1 species